CUCCAUCACAACACAAGACACACAAAUCCUCCUCCUCAUCAAAAACAUGACUCUGAUCUGCAUCCUCAUCUGGACUCUCCUCUGCUGCUGCUUCACAGAGUCCAGAGGACAGGUCACAGUGACUCAGCCUGCAGCAGUGAGAUCUGCUCUGGGAGCCUCCGUCACCAUCCCAUGUAGGACCAGUGUUAAUGUUCAUGGUAGUUAUUUAGGCUGGUACCAACAGAAAGAUGGAGAAAUCCCUAAGCUGUUUAUUUAUGUGAUAAGAACUCUAGCAUCAGGGAUUCCAGGUCGUUUUUCAGGCAGUGGAUCAGGCUCUGACUUCACUCUGACCAUCAGUGGAGUCCAGGCUGAAGAUGCAGCAGUUUACUACUGUCAGAGUUUACACUACAUCAACAAUGUCUACGUGUUAGCACGGUGAAAAAGGGUCGUACAA